rnacentral:rRNA from 1 species
UUUAUGAAGAGUUUGAUCAUGGCUCAGAUUGAACGCUGGCGGCAGGCCUAAUACAUGCAAGUCGAACGGUAACAGGGUGAA